rnacentral:rRNA from 1 species
GCGGUAGACGGGUGCGUAACAUGUGGGAAUCUGCCUUUUGGUUCGGAACAACACGGGGAAACCUGUGCUAAUACCGGAUAAGUCCUUACGGAGAAAGUUUUAAUGCCAAAAGAUGAGCCCGCAUUUGAUUAGCUGGUUGGUAGGGUAAUGGCCUACCAAGACUAUGAUCAAUAGCUGAUUUGAGAGGAUGAUCAGCCACAUUGGGACUGAGACACGGCCCAGACUCC